rnacentral:rRNA from 1 species
GGGUCAGUAGGUUGGUCGUGCCACCGGUACGUACUGGUCUCACUGAUUCCUCCUCCCUGAAGAACCGUAAUGCCAUUAAUUUGGUGUUGCGGGGAAACAGGACUGUUACUUUGAAAAAAUUAGAGUGUUUAAAGCAAGCUAACGCUUGAAUACAUUAGCAUGGAAUAAUGAAAUAGGACGAUCGAUCCUAUUUUGUUGGUUUCUAGGAUUGACGCA